AGAAAAUGCAGGCGCUGUCGGAGCUGCCGAGUUAGAGUGUGAAUAUGGGAGUGUGGCUCUGUGCGUGCGUGAUGAGCGCCAGACAGAUUCGUGGAAGAAACUGGGUGGCUGUGUGUUUGUGUGAUUGUGCGCACCGGAUAUGGCCAUGUGAGUUGGUUCAUUCUUGGUCCCGUGCCCUUUCUGUUGGGUAAAACUUGGAUCUGGUCCGAGCAAAUCACAGACUUGCUCAUCUCUUCUCGACUUUUCCCUGGCCCUUGUAUUUUUCUCACAAGAGCAAACAGGAAGACUAAUGAAGCGUAUUGAUCUAAUGGAAACUUGUGACCAGAUAAAUGAUCGAAACCUGGAUUGAAACCUGGAAGAAUGCACUUGAAAACUGUGCCCUACUCAUUUUCUCCAUGCUUGUCCUGUCUCAUAACGUUUGAUAUCUUGGCCAGUGGGAGAUAUUUUGCCGUUUGUCCAUCGUUUGUCAUGUGUUAUGUGAUGGAGGGGUCUUGUAGCAGCAGAAAAAAAGAGCAGCUUGUCCUGGGCUUUCCUUUCAAAGUCCCAUUAACAGGUUGUGUGAUGCUGUGUAAAUCACUUAACUAAGCUUUCCCCAGAAAGAUGGGAGAUGGGAGGACAGAAGUUUGGCCCUAGCAAACCCCUACCUACCCCCAAACAAUCGUUAGCUCAGUUUGUAGCCUAUCAGUGUCAGUAUAUGUUAAACUGUAGGCAAAGUGAAAAAUACUGCACUCAAAUAAGGUGUGUGUUAUAAAUUGAUAAGUGGAAAGAGGAGGUAAGGAGACAAUUAAAACACUUGUAACAUAGGCUGAAAGUUGACCAGUUAACUAAAAGGCCUUUGGUUCCAUAAACUUAAUGGAACAGCUGAAAAAGUAGAUGUUUCAGUCAUUUUUAGGACUGCAAAUCUAUUAGAUUUUAGAUUUUUUUCAUGUACUUCUAGACCCGUAAAAUCUUAUGAUUGCUGAAUCUGAAUUCCUAAUUAUUUUUUAUUUCUGAAUCUGAAAGUCACUAAUGUCUUAUUUAAUUUUGUAACAAGAACAAAUACAUAUUUGAAAAAUAAUAACGCGGGUCACCUGGUUGGCUCGGUUGGUGGAGUGUGCAACUCUUGAUCUUGGGGUUGUGGGUUUAAGCCCCAUGUUGGGUGUACAGAUUACUUGAAAAUAAAAUCUUAAAAAAAUAAAAGAAAAGAAAAAUGAUUACUCAAGAUUUGCUCAUGCCAACUGGUAAGAAAUUUCUAUCUCUUGUGAUGAGUGGAUAUAGCGUCCAAAAAUACA